CGAGAAUGGGAUUAGACAGGUUACAGGAGGAAUCUGUGCUCGACUGUCUGAGCUGAGUGUGAGGGAUGAUAACUGUCGGGAAUCCCCGAACUUUUCUUUGUAUUAAAUUCUUUAACCUUUAACAUCCGGAACAUUUCCUUAUAAACCAAAACGUUUGUUUUCGAUGAUUAUGUUCUAAAACCGUCUCUGUCUGUAUCCCUGAUCUCAUCCAGGGUCACGUCCGGGACUGAAGCCCGCCCCAGCGGUUGAUGGAGGAGAAUAGAGGGUCACUCGGACAGGUCGGAGCUAACAGAGACAUAUACUCAGUAUUUUAAUCGUAACAUGAGACACAAACCCACAGGAAGUACAAACAAAGACAAACUGAAUAAGUCAAAAUCAAGACAGACAGAAUAAAAC